GACGAACGCUGGCGGCGUGCCUAAUACAUGCAAGUCGAGCGAAGUUUUUCUGGUGCUUGCACUAGAAAAACUUAGCGGCGAACGGGUGAGUAACACGUAAAGAACCUGCCUCAUAGACUGGGACAACUAUUGGAAACGAUAGCUAAUACCGGAUAACAGUAUUUCUCGCAUGAGAGAUAUUUAAAAGUUGGUUAUGCUAACACUAUGAGAUGGCUUUGCGGUGCAUUAGCUAGUUGGUGGGGUAAAGGCCCACCAAGGCGACGAUGCAUAGCCGACCUGAGAGGGUGAUCGGCCACACUGGGACUGAGACACGGCCCAGACUCCUACGGGAGGCAGCAGUAGGGAAUCUUCCGCAAUGGGCGAGAGCCUGACGGAGCAACGCCGCGUGAGUGAAGAAGGAGUUCGGUUCGUAAAGAUCUGUUGUUAGGGAAGAAUGGAUAUGUAGUAACUAUACAUGUAAGAGACGGUACCUAGCCAGAAAGCCACGGCUAACUACGUG
rnacentral:rRNA from 1 species